CUGCCCGGUUGGUGAUUGAGACGACAGGGCUGGGCGGCGAUACCCCUACUGGUUGUCAGCGGUGGAACAGGGGACACAUGGGCGGCGAAGCCAGCACCCAUCCGCGAAGAGGCUGGCGAGU
rnacentral:ncRNA from 1 species